rnacentral:rRNA from 1 species
GGAGUUUUCGGCAAUGGGGGAAACCCUGACCGAGCAACGCCGCGUGAGCGAUGACGGCCCUAUGGGUUGUAAAGCUCUGUUGUAAGCCAUGAAUGAUAGCUUGAGGAAAUGCAAGCUAUUUGACGACAGCUUACCAGAAAGCCACGGCUAACUACGUGCCAGCAGCCGCGGUAAUACGUAGGUGGCAAGCGUUAUCCGGAAUUAUUGGGCGUAAAGAGUGAGCAGGCGGCUAAUUAAGUCUGAAGUCAAAUCGUGGGGCUCAACCCCAUCUCGCUUUGGAAACUGAUUGGCUAGAGUACGGGAGAAGUGAAGGGAACUCCAUGUGUAGCGGUGAAAUGCGUAGAUAUAUGGAAGAACACCAGUGGCGAAGGCGCUUCACUAGCCCGAAACUGACGCUCAGUCACGAAAGCGUGGGUAGCAAAUA